AUAUUUUAAAACCUAAAGUCUCCUUGAUAUCUUCAAUAUCAUGCUCUAAAUAAGCUAUUAAAAUA
rnacentral:tRNA from 1 species